rnacentral:rRNA from 1 species
UACGUAGGGGGCAAGCGUUGUCCGGAUUUAUUGGGCGUAAAGAGCGUGUAGGCGGUCUGGUAGGUCCGUUGUGAAAACUCGAGGCUCAACCUCGAGACGCCGAUGGAAACCAUCAGACUAGAGUCCGGAAGAGGAGAGUGGAAUUCCUGGUGUAGCGGUGAAAUGCGCAGAUAUCAGGAGGAACACCGGUGGCGAAGGCGGGUCUCUGGGCCGAUACUGACGCUGAGGCACGAAAGCGUGGGGAGCAAACAGG